CUCUAUGGCGGUUGUGCGUGGGACACCUUCGGGUGUGCCGGUUUUCUAGGUGACCGGUCGACCAACCUGCGCACAGCUGCCUCCUUC
rnacentral:antisense_RNA from 1 species